rnacentral:rRNA from 1 species
AGAGUUUGAUCCUGGCUCAGAUUGAACGCUGGCGGCAUGCUUUACACAUGCAAGUCGAACGGCAGCAUAGAGAGCUUGCUCUCUGAUGGCGAGUGGCGAACGGGUGAGUAAUACAUCGGAACGUGUCCUGUUGUGGGGGAUAACUACUCGAAAGAGUAGCUAAUACCGCAUAAGACCUACGGGUGAAAGCGGGGGACCUUCGGGCCUCGCGCAGUUGGAGCGGCCGAUGACUGAUUAGCUAGUUGGUGGGGUAAAGGCCUACCAAGGCGACGAUCAGUAGCUGGUCUGAGAGGACGACCAGCCACAUUGGGACUGAGACACGGCCCAAACUCCUACGGGAGGCAGCAGUGGGGAAUUUUGGACAAUGGGGGCAACCCUGAUCCAGCCAUGCCGCGUGCGGGAAGAAGGCCUUCGGGUUGUAAACCGCUUUUGUUAGGAACGAAAAGGUAUCUGUGAACAACAGGUAUUGCUGACGGUACCUAAAGAAUAAGCACCGGCUAACUACGUGCCAGCAGCCGCGGUAAUACGUAGGGUGCGAGCGUUAAUCGGAAUUACUGGGCGUAAAGCGUGCGCAGGCGGUUGGGUAAGACAGGUGUGAAAUCCCCGAGCUUAACUUGGGAACUGCACUUGUGACUGCUCAACUAGAGUAUGUCAGAGGGAGGUGGAAUUCCAAGUGUAGCAGUGAAAUGCGUAGAUAUUUGGAAGAACACCGAUGGCGAAGGCAGCCUCCUGGGAUAAUACUGACGCUCAUGCACGAAAGCGUGGGGAGCAAACAGGAUUAGAUACCCUGGUAGUCCACGCCCUAAACGAUGUCAACUAGUUGUUGGGCCGCAUGGCUUAGUAACACAGCUAACGCGAGAAGUUGACCGCCUGGGGAGUACGGUCGCAAGAUUAAAACUCAAAGGAAUUGACGGGGACCCGCACAAGCGGUGGAUGAUGU